UACGGAGGGUGCAAGCGUUAAUCGGAAUUACUGGGCGUAAAGCGCACGUAGGCGGUUUGGUAAGUCAGAUGUGAGAGCCCCGGGCUUAACCUGGGAAUUGCAUCUGAUACUGCUUGACUAGAGUAUGCUAGAGGGAAGUGGAAUUCCGGGUGUAGUGGUGAAAUGCGUAGAUAUCCGGAGGAACACCAAUGGCGAAGGCAACUUCCUGGGGCAAUACCGACGCUGAGGUGCGAAAGCGUGGGUAGCGAACGGG
rnacentral:misc_RNA from 1 species